CAAAGAAAUAUAUCGCACUAGUAGUACAAUACUGUCGUAACUCAAAAUUGGUCGAAUUUGACUUAUCAUUAUAAUCAAACGUAAAAUUAAAUUCCCCACAAGUCAUUAAAACCGUCGUUAGGAUCAUGCAAGAAAUGAAUAAUAGAUGGCGCUAUAAGACAUUAUUCGUGACUGACCAGUCGUCAGACUCGCCUCGUUCGAUAUUGCGUCAUCUUUAGUCGCGACAAACGGUGAUCGGGGAAGCACGUGUCGCUGGGCGCAAUAUUUCGAGUUGCAGCGUUAUUACUGGAUCAGAUUCAGUAUGCAUCGUGGGCGACUACUUGUUACUAUGGCAACCAACACUACGCGUCAACUUCCGGAAAAAGAAAAUGAGGAACCUGUUCCGAAUUCAUCACCGUCAAUUUUUGUGCAAUUACGUCUAUAAAAGACUACUUAAGUAUAAGAGUAAAUUAUAAGUUUCUAUUGUUUUUGUUUUCUAUGUUUGGAAGAUUUAUUUUGUUAAAACAAAGUGUUUCAAAAUAAAUAGUAUAUCUUGUUAUGUAUGUAGGUAACUAUUAAGAAUUACUGUUUUGGUUUUGAAAGGUUUAUUUUCGAAAUGUUUUAACUACUUUAAGCAUGGGUACACAAAGUACAAGUACAAAUAUUGCAAUUUUUAUCUAUUUUUUGUCAAUUACAGCCCUUAUAAGAAUAA